rnacentral:misc_RNA from 1 species
UGGGAACAGAUCAGAAGCGCUGCAACGCACGAACGCUGACCUGCACACGAACUGGUUUGGUUUCGGCCUUCUCCAGGAGACACCACUGCUGCUCGCAAAGUGGUCACCGACGCUCUUUUUUCUUCGCGCUCAUGUCGGCGAGGGCACCUACGUCGUUGUGGUUAGGGGACCACAACGACAAGGCUGCAGUGGCUGCUGCGGAGCAGUCCACAAAGAAGCGCCGCCGUCUUCGCCACCACCGAUGCAAGGCCGCACGGGAAGCUGCCUCAAAAACUGCCGAUGGACCGUACGACGAGCUUGCUGAGACGGUGGAGAAUAACGAUGAAGUGAAGUCAGUAGAGGAGACGCCGGAGGCGGCGUCUAACGUGGCGUCCACGAAACGUUCGGAGAAGCGACGGCGUGAGGACGACAGCGACGACGACGAAGAGGCGGACGCAGAUGCGACGGCAUCGAGCGCGCGUCCGUGUAACCCCCAAAAGCGCGGCGCGGCGGAGGAAGGGAAGACGUCAUCCCCCUCCGCCUCCGCGUCCCCUGCUGCGUCGUCGUCGCCGAACGGCCCCACAGCGGUAAGCAUGACGCAGCGCAGCAAGGAGCUGGCCAAGUCCAUCCCUGCCGUCACGGACUACAAGUCACUGCAGUUGAACCCCCACAUAGUGUCUGCUCUGGAGCAGGAGUUCAAGUUCAAGGAGCUGACGCCGAUCCAGUCUCGCUGCAUUCCUGCUGCGCUGCAGGGACGCGAUCUCCUCGCCGAGGCGAAGACCGGCGCCGGUAAGACGCUGGCGUUUUUGAUUCCAAUUGUCGAGAUCGUCUGCCGCUCUGGCUUCCGCCCCAGCAACGGCACGGCAGCCAUCAUCAUCGGGCCCACCCGUGAGCUCUGCUUGCAGAUCGAGGGUGUGCUGCUGAAGCUGCUGAAGCACUUCAACGGCUCCUUGACGUUCUUGUGCUGCAUUGGUGGCCAGAGCCGCAACCAAGAGGGCUUCAAGCUCGCCAACGGCGUCAUGAUCGUGGUCGCCUCCCCUGGCCGCCUGCUAGACCAUUUGAAGUUGACGACGGACUGGCACACAAAGAACCUACUGCUGCUCGCCGUUGACGAGGCAGAUCGCGUGCUCGACAACGGCUUUGAGGAGGACAUGCGCGAGAUCGUGGCCCUGCUGCCCAAGAACCGCCAGACGUUCUUGUUUUCUGCCACGCAGACGACGCGUGUCGAGCAGCUCGCGCGCAUCUCGUUUCACAAGACGCCGAUCUUCAUCUCCAUGAAGAGCAAGAAGGACAAGGCCACCGUGGACACGUUGGAGCAGGGCUACGUCGUGUGCGCCAGCGAGCAGCGUCUGCUCGUGCUCUACCACUUUGUGAAAAAGAACCUGAAGAAGAAGGUCAUCGUCUUCUUCAGCAGCCGCAACAGCGUCAGCUUCCACUGCGAGCUCUUCAACUACAUCGACGUUCCCUGCAUCGCCUUCCACGGCAAGCAAAAGCAGCACCAGCGCUCCGCGACGUACAUGCAGUUUUGCAACGCACCGAGUGGCGUGCUCUUCACGACCGAUGUCGCGGCACGCGGUCUCGACAUUCCCGAGGUGGACUGGAUUGUGCAAUUCGACCCCCCGGAUGAUCCGGUGAAGUACGUCCACCGUGUCGGGCGAACCGCGCGCGCUGGGCGCUGUGGUAACGCGCUCAUGUUUCUGCUUCCGCAGGAGGAACUGUUCCUCAAGUACCUCUACGAUGAUGCCAAGGUGAAGGUGAACGAGUACACCUUUGAUUUGACAAGGCUAAAAGGGAACGUGCAGGGGCAGCUGGAGCAGCUGGUGAGCUCCAACUACUACCUGCGCACUUCGGCGCGGCAGGCAUACGAGGGCUACUUGCUGAGCUACAGUAGCUGCCAGCUGAAAAACGUGUUCAACAUCCAAAACCUCGACCUCGCUGCGGUGGCGCGCGGGUUUGCACUGAGUGAGCCGCCGCCGAUCAAGAUGGACCUCUCCCAGUCUGCUGCACACAUGAACAAGAAGUCGCGACACGAGUUUAGCGCCAUGCGCCACACCAAGGACGCUAAGCGACGCGACGUGAACGCGAAGUCGAUGAACAAGCGGCAUCAGAACAUCAGUGGGGAGUGGUGAGCUGGGUGGGAGGGGGUUGAUGGUGGUGAGGGCGGCAGCGCGUACUCUCUCUCUUGCGCUCUCAUUGGGUGAUAUUUCUUUUGUCGGGUGCUCUUUGGGCCUUUGCACACACACACACACACACGGUGCGACGACCUCCCAGUGUGGUUGCUCUGUACGCGACCUUUUCCUCCUCUUGCAGCCGCAUCCAGGGUGCACCCGCGACAUCGCACGCGAGGAGACGACGCUCGCGAGAGAGGGAGAGCGAGGAUUAGUACAGAAGAACCGAGCAUUUGCUUUGAACACGUUUAACACGCGCACACAAAACUGCAUCGUCGCACGCACGCGCGCGAGUGAGGCGCUCAUGAAGGUGCACUACACGACUAAAGAGGAAAAGAGAGUCGUGAAACAGGGAGAGGAGGAAAAUGAGACUUCUUCUACUGCGCAGCUGCAGCAUUGUUGUCGGCUUGCGCGCAGGGCGAGGUGAGGGGGAAAGGCUCAUCCACCAUACUUCUCCCGGUCCCCAUCCGAUGUUGAUGCGCGUUUCUGUCGGCUCGUUCUUCUCCCCUCGUCUGCCCUCGCUUUCUUCGUCAAGCGCUAGCAGGCCCACGAAGAGUCGUGAGCACAUGCUCUGACAUGGAAUAG